rnacentral:lncRNA from 1 species
GUUUCUUUUCUUGUUUUGCUUUUGUUUCAGAUUUCCUCGGAGGUUACACACUUCCUCUUCCAAUCCCCUAGUUCCUUGGCGGAAACUUUCAGCCUGUGAUGGGAAGAGAAGGUUGCAGGCCUUGAGAAUGUCAUUAAGGAGAUGAUGUGGGGCUCCUUGGCAUCUGGCUUUCCAUUUUGUUGCCCCUUCUGCCCAAGUUCGUCAUUCAUGUGUGCCGGAACCAUUCAAGUGCUGCACGCUGACCCUGGUGUUGUUCAAGAUUCCCGAAGGCACCUGGAAAUACUAUGGGAAGUGCCCUGAGAAGACAUUAGACAGCUCUAACCGUCAAGCCAGUCAUAAGGAAGGGGCUCUUCAAUGCGCUCGGAAACACAGGAGGCUAACUGGAAACUUCACCUUUGACACACAGAGCAGAGCCUAUGCACUGGGCUGCUUCUGCCCACUGGGAUGGAAUUUUCCGCCCCAAGGAGGGAAGCAAAGAACGGCUCUGGGCUCCUAUUGGAAGAAGUGCAGUCCUGCUCCCUUGCUGUUUCCAUGGUAUGAUCGAGACUGCAUCCGGAGGAAGACUGAGUCCCUGACAAGGCUAAAAGGACACAACUUAGUCUCUGAUGAACUAGUCAAGUGCCUGGCAGUGAUAAAGGUCCAUACACUUUUUCUGGGUUUAUAGGAAGAAGUUGCCUUAUCUCCCAAUUUCCCGUUCAAUUUCUGACAAGUUCAGC